rnacentral:rRNA from 1 species
GAGCGAUUUACUUCGGUAAAGAGCGGCGGACGGGUGAGUAACGCGUGGGUAACCUGCCCCAUACACAUGGAUAACAUACCGAAAGGUAUGCUAAUACAGGAUAAUAUAAGAGAUUCACAUGGAUUUUUUAUCAAAGCUCCGGCGGUAUGAGAUGGACCCGCGUCUGAUUAGCUAGUUGGUAAGGUAAUGGCUUACCAAGGCGACGAUCAGUAGCCGACCUGAGAGGGUGAUCGGCCACAUUGGAACUGAGACACGGUCCAAACUC